rnacentral:lncRNA from 1 species
UUCUUCCUUUUCCUCUUAGAAGGUGGAUUAGUACCACCUGUCUCAGCUAACGUUCAUGGGAUUCAGCAGGAAAAACAGUAUUAUGAGGGGAAAGCUUCUUUGAAUGCAGUAUUUUAGGAUUAUUUCUUUGGUUGCUAAACUGCUACCUUUGUAUUGAAAGGUGAUGAGACAUUUUCUGGCUGAGAGACAGAGAUAUCCUAGAAAGGUGUCAAGUUAAAAGAGGGCCGAUGAAAGGACUUGAGCCACAGCCAUCGGAGGAGGGUAUGGAUGGCUGCAAGCCCACAGGCCACCUGUUGAAGAGGUAGGUGCACUUGGUCCUCAGAAUGACAGCUACUCAGUACCAGAUCUCUUUGUCUUCAUUAUUCAUGGAUAAUAAUGAGCUGGGAAAAGUCACAAUAUUCUAUGAAAUAAAUCCUGACACAUGGCUGGUUAAGCUAUUCUGCACCUUGUGGACAUACAGUAAAUGCAUCUUGAUUACCUGGCAAUGAACUCAUUUAGCCGUUUUUUUUUUUUAGCCACUAUUAUUCCUGGUUUUAUUUUAAUAGAGGAAAAAAAAAACAGAUUUCAAAUGUGCCCGUGGACUUCGAGCUGGUGCGUUCAGUGGCAAAGCUGGAAUUCAAAUCUCAGGGCUCCUGCUCUGGGCUUCUUCUCCAUGAAACUUGGAGGAAAAGAAAAAGGAAGACACUCUUACUGGUCAGAGGAGAGAACACAAUUCCUUCAGUGGAACCAGUAAUUCAAGCUACUGCAUAUGCCAAUUAAAGACCAAUCUGGGGAAAGGUGGAUGCCCUGGGCUCCAUCUGCCAUUCAACCACUGAUUACGGCCUUGUACGGAUGGACUUUCAGCAGCAGGAACCCAAAAUCAUUGGUGAAAUAGGAAAGCUAUUGUACAGAUAUUAGAAAAAUAAGACCUUCACAGUCAUCAGAAAAGUUAUCACUUAAUGUCAUGUGUCAUCAGUCCUUUCUUGUGAUUGAUUAUGUUUGUAUACAUGCACUUGAAAUGUGUUUUUAAAAGAGUAUUAUAAGAGAUAUUUUUCCAGUAAGUACAAUAAGCAUUCAAUAGUAGAACAAAUAGAACAUUGAUAUCUCAUUAUUAGUAUUGCUCACAUGUGUAUUAUGAGGCAGAAUUAAAGCUGAAAUGC